GGUUAAGCGACUAAGCGUACACGGUGGAUGCCCUGGCAGUCAGAGGCGAUGAAGGACGUGCUAAUCUGCGAAAAGCGCCGGCGAGGUGAUAUGAACCCUUGACCCGGCGAUGUCCGAAUGGGGAAACCCAGUGCAAUCCGUUGCACUAUCGUUAACUGAAUACAUAGGUUAACGAGGCGAACCGGGGGAACUGAAACAUCUAAGUACCCCGAGGAAAAGAAAUCAACCGAGAUUCCCCCAGUAGCGGCGAGCGAACGGGGAGYAGCCCGGAGUCUGAAUCAGCUUGUGUGUUAGUGGAACGGUCUGGAAAGUCCGACGGUACAGGGUGAUAGUCCCGUACACGAAAGCACACWUGCUGUGAACUCGAAGAGUAGGGCGGGACACGUGGUAUCCUGUCUGAAUAUGGGGGGACCAUCCUCCAAGGCUAAAUACUCCUGACUGACCGAUAGUGAACCAGUACCGUGAGGGAAAGGCGAAAAGAACCCCGGCGAGGGGAGUGAAAAAGAACCUGAAACCGUGUACGUACAAGCAGUGGGAGCCUCUUUAUGGGGUGACUGCGUACCUUUUGUAUAAUGGGUCAGCGACUUAUAUUCUGUAGCAAGGUUAACCGUAUAGGGG
rnacentral:rRNA from 1 species